GACGAACGCUGGCGGCGUGCUUAACACAUGCAAGUCGAACGGAAAGGCCCUGCUUUUGUGGGGUGCUCGAGUGGCGAACGGGUGAGUAACACGUGAGUAACCUGCCCUUGACUUUGGGAUAACUUCAGGAAACUGGGGCUAAUACCGGAUAGGAGCUCCUGCUGCAUGGUGGGGGUUGGAAAGUUUCGGCGGUUGGGGAUGGACUCGCGGCUUAUCAGCUUGUUGGUGGGGUAGUGGCUUACCAAGGCUUUGACGGGUAGCCGGCCUGAGAGGGUGACCGGCCACAUUGGGACUGAGAUACGGCCCAGACUCCUACGGGAGGCAGCAGUGGGGAAUAUUGCACAAUGGGCGGAAGCCUGAUGCAGCAACGCCGCGUGCGGGAUGACGGCCUUCGGGUUGUAAACCGCUUUCGCCUGUGACGAAGCGUGAGUGACGGUAAUGGGUAAAGAAGCACCGGCUAACUACGUGCCAGCAGCCGCGGUGAUACGUAGGGUGCGAGCGUUGUCCGGAUUUAUUGGGCGUAAAGGGCUCGUAGGUGGUUGAUCGCGUCGGAAGUGUAAUCUUGGGGCUUAACCCUGAGCGUGCUUUCGAUACGGGUUGACUUGAGGAAGGUAGGGGAGAAUGGAAUUCCUGGUGGAGCGGUGGAAUGCGCAGAUAUCAGGAGGAACACCAGUGGCGAAGGCGGUUCUCUGGGCCUUUCCUGACGCUGAGGAGCGAAAGCGUGGGGAGCGAACAGGCUUAGAUACCCUGGUAGUCCACGCUGUAAACGGUGGGUACUAGGUGUGGGGUCCAUUCCACGGGUUCCGUGCCGUAGCUAACGCUUUAAGUACCCCGCCUGGGGAGUACGGCCGCAAGGCUAAAACUCAAAGGAAUUGACGGGGCCCCGCACAAGCGGCGGAGCAUGCGGAUUAAUUCGAUGCAACGCGUAGAACCUUACCUGGGUUUGACAUGGGUCGGGAGUGCUCAGAGAUGGGUGUGCCUCUUUUGGGGUCGGUUCACAGGUGGUGCAUGGCUGUCGUCAGCUCGUGUCGUGAGAUGUUGGGUUAAGUCCCGCAACGAGCGCAACCCUUGUUCACUGUUGCCAGCACGUUAUGGUGGGGACUCAGUGGAGACCGCCGGGGUCAACUCGGAGGAAGGUGGGGAUGACGUCAAGUCAUCAUGCCCCUUAUGUCCAGGGCUUCACGCAUGCUACAAUGGCUGGUACAGAGAGUGGCGAGCCUGUGAGGGUGAGCGAAUCUCGGAAAGCCGGUCUCAGUUCGGAUUGGGGUCUGCAACUCGACCUCAUGAAGUCGGAGUCGCUAGUAAUCGCAGAUCAGCAACGCUGCGGUGAAUACGUUCCCGG
rnacentral:rRNA from 1 species